AAGUCGUAACAAGGUUUCCGUAGGUGAACCUGCGGAAGGAUCAUUACCAAUUCGACCUUGGGUUUGGAAAAUGGCGUUUGCCGUUUUUCUGAAUUCCAUCCAACCAACCUUUGAUUGUGAACAAGGAUUUAUCAAGUCUUCCUGUGUUUGUUCACGGGAAGCAAUUUUAUCCAACUCCACUUAAAUCCGCACCGCGCGUGUGGAAAAAGCAAGCGUUGAGCUCCGAAACUGAAAAAAACAAAAAUGUCAUGUACAACUUUUAACGGCGGAUCUCUUGGCUCGU
rnacentral:misc_RNA from 1 species